rnacentral:rRNA from 1 species
CCUACGGGAGGCAGCAGUGAGGAAUAUUGCGCAAUGGGGGCAACCCUGACGCAGCGACGCCGCGUGAGUGAGGAAGGCCUUCGGGUCGUAAAGCUCUGUCAGCAGGGAAGAAGUGUGAGGGGGUUAACAGCCUUUUCAUUUGACGGUACCUGCAGAGGAAGCACCGGCUAACUCCGUGCCAGCAGCCGCGGUAAUACGGAGGGUGCGAGCGUUGUUCGGAAUUACUGGGCGUAAAGGGCGCGCAGGCGGCUUUAUAAGUCAGAUGUGAAAGUCCACGGCUUAACUGUGGAAGUGCAUUUGAAACUGUGAGGCUUGAGUACCAGAGGGGAAGGUGGAAUUCCCGGUGUAGAGGUGAAAUUCGUAGAUAUCGGGAGGAAUACCGGUGGCGAAGCGACUUUCUGGCUGGAUACUGACGCUGAGGCGCGAAAGCGUGGGGAGCAAACA